UGGGGGAUAUUGCACAAUGGGCGAAAGCCUGAUGCAGCGACGCCGCGUGGGGGAUGAAGGCUUUCGGGUUGUAAACCUCUUUCGCUAUCGAACAAGGCCCGCUUAGGGUGGGUUGAGGGUAGGUGGAGAAGAAGCGCCGGCUAACUACGUGCCAGCAGCCGCGGUAAUACGUAGGGCGCGAGCGUUGUCCGGAAUUAUUGGGCGUAAAGGGCUUGUAGGCGGCUUGUUGCGCCUGCUGUGAAAACGCGGGGCUUAACUUCGCGCGUGCAGUGGGUACGGGCAGGCUUGAGUGUGGUAGGGGUGACUGGAAUUCCAGGUGUAGCGGUGGAAUGCGCAGAUAUCUGGAGGAACACCGAUGGCGAAGGCAGGUCACUGAGCCAUUACUGACGCUGAGGAGCGAAAGCAUGGGUAGCGAACAGG
rnacentral:rRNA from 1 species